rnacentral:lncRNA from 1 species
AAGUAGAGGCACCUAAACAGAGAUUAGAUUUCUGGUUUCAAGGCAUGUCGGACCAAGCACGCUGAAUGAACAUGAGUUAGUUAAUUAGCUCGGUCUCUCUUCUUUCCGUUCCCUGGUCUGAAUGUUUCUUGAUGGCAAAGCGACCAGGAGAGAGUUGAUUUGCAUCUUAAGACCUAUGGGUCUUCGCUCCGGUCAUUGAGUUCUGUGAUUAAGUCA